UUCAUUGUUCUCAUCCUUCCCAUUCUUCUCCUCCUUAAGCUCUCUCUCCUUGUUGAAAUAGAUACAAUCCUCUAAAGUUAAAAUGGGUUGUGUGUGUGCAAAAACAAAUGCUGGAGGUUGGAGAUGCAAAUGUGGAUGACAUAUAUAUAUGAGCGUUUCUCUCUAUAACUUCUGUUGUUCAGAUCGUUGUUCUCACCUGCUAAACCUGCAAUUCUUGGUUCCAAGUUAGAGUUUUCUUUCAACAUAGUUUUUUUAUUAUUUGUUUUGUAUACAUCUUUUUGUCUAUAUUAUGCUCAUUCAACAACAUAUAUCUAGUUAUACAAAUUCUUAACGUGCAAAUAAAUAUAUCUGUAACAUCUAAAGGAGUAUAAACAACAACAACAACAACUCACUUGAUGAUAUUUUCAUGGUGAUUAUAGUUCUUGUUAAGUUACAGAGUAAAUAAAUUUGUGAGUACUCGUGUUCUAGUGGUUUUAACUGUCCGAAUUUAAAAAAACAAAAAGUUUAACGUCCUGAGUAGCUGGUUGAUAAAUUUGUACCCAUUUAAGUCCAAAUUAUUAACUCCAUCCACCAAGUCUGUUAACUUUAAGGGUAUUUUUUAAUUGCAAAUAUGGUACAAAUCAUUAAUGCACAAAAAUAUAAGGUAUAUGUUUUUAAUGUACAAACUUUAAUAUAUAACUAGUAUUAAGCCCCCCAUGCGAGUUGCGGCGAGGGCGUAAAACCGUGCCAAGUAGCACCAAAGCUAUACCAUUGCUUGCCACCAGAAACGCCAUUAAAAUUCGUAAAACAAAAUAAAUGAAAACGAAAAAAAAAAAUAACAUCGAAUGAAAAACAAACGUAAAAUCAUUGAACCACACACGUCUGUUGUGACGUGCUAAUGCAAAGAAAUUUGACCUA
rnacentral:lncRNA from 1 species